CCUACGGGAGGCAGCAGUGGGGGAUAUUGCACAAUGGGGGCAACCCUGAUGCAGCGACGCCGCGUGAGCGAUGGAGUACUUCGGUAUGUAAAGCUCUGUCAGCAGGGGAGAGAAUGACGGUACCUGACCAAGAAGCCCCGGCUAAAUACGUGCCAGCAGCCGCGGUAAUACGUAUGGGGCAAGCGUUAUCCGGAUUUACUGGGUGUAGAGGGAGCGUAGGCGGCAGGGCAAGCCUGAUGUGAAAGCCCGGGGCUCAACCCCGGGACUGCAUUGGGAACUGCCCCACUCGAGUGCCGGAGGGGCAGGCGGAAUUCCUAGUGUAGCGGUGAAAUGCGGAGAUAUUAGGAGGAACACCAGUGGCGAAGGCGGCGUGCUGGACGGUGUACUGACGCUGAGGCUCGAAAGCGUGGGGAGCAAACAGGAUUAGAUACCCCGGUAGUC
rnacentral:rRNA from 1 species